UUUUUUUCUCACACUUUACAGCGCCUUCUCUCAGGAAUUCACACGGGGAGAUCGUGCAACCAGCGACCUGUAAACAGACGGAAGA